rnacentral:siRNA from 1 species
GAAACAAACAAGAGUCGGAUGA